GGAGGGGGGAAAGAAAGGAGAGCAGGUUAAUGAUUUCCCUACAUAACUCCUGAUUGGAUAAGGCCUGUGCAAUUCAUUCUCUGAAGGGUCCACUCUUCACAAUUCUGUCCCUUUCUCUUU